UGGGGAAUUUUGGACAAUGGGGGAAACCCUGAUCCAGCCAUCCCGCGUGUGCGAUGAAGGCCUUCGGGUUGUAAAGCACUUUUGCAGGAAAGAAACGUCAUGGGUUAAUACCCCGUGAAACUGACGGUACCUGCAGAAUAAGCACCAGCUAACUACGUGCCAGCAGCCGCGGUAAUACGUAGGGUGCAAGCGUUAAUCGGAAUUACUGGGCGUAAAGCGUGCGCAGGCGGUUCGGAAAGAAAGAUGUGAAAUCCCAGAGCUCAACUUUGGAACUGCAUUUUUAACUACCGGGCUAGAGUGUGUCAGAGGGAGGUGGAAUUCCGCGUGUAGCAGUGAAAUGCGUAGAUAUGCGGAGGAACACCGAUGGCGAAGGCAGCCUCCUGGGAUAACACUGACGCUCAUGCACGAAAGCGUGGGGAGCAAACAGG
rnacentral:rRNA from 1 species